UGGCCAGUAGCACAAUGGUAGUGCAAUCCGCUGUUAACGGAUAGGUUCUAGGUUCGAGUCCUAGCUGGCCAGCCA
rnacentral:tRNA from 1 species